UACAGAGGUCUCAAGCGUUGUUCGGAUUCAUUGGGCGUAAAGGGCGCGUAGGCGGCGCGGUAAGUCGGGUGUGAAAUCUCGGAGCUUAACUCCGGAACUGCAUUCGAUACUGCCGUGCUUGAGGACUGGAGAGGAGACUGGAAUUUACGGUGUAGCGGUGAAAUGCGUAGAUAUCGUAAGGAAGACCAGUGGCGAAGGCGGGUCUCUGGACAGUUCCUGACGCUGAGGCACGAAGGUCAGGGGAGCAAACGGG
rnacentral:rRNA from 1 species